UAAGGAAUAUUGGUCAAUGGACGCAAGUCUGAACCAGCCAUGCCGCGUGAAGGAUGAAGGUCCUCUGGAUUGAAAACUUCUUUUAUCUGGGACGAAAACGGGAUUUUUAUCUCAAUUGACGGUACCAGAGGAAUAAGCACCGGCUAACUCCGUACCAGCAGCCGCGGUAAUACGGAGGGUGCGAGCGUUAUCCGGAUUUACUGGGUUUAAAGGGUGCGUAGGUGGGCUUAUAAGUCAGUGGUGAAAUCUCCGAGCUUAACUUGGAAACUGCCGUUGAUACUAUAGGUCGUGAAUUAUCUGGAGGUAAGCGGAAUUUGUCAUGUAGCGGUGAAAUGCUUAGAUAUGACAUAGAACACCAAUUGCGAAGGCAGCUUACUACAUAUAAAUUGACGCUGAGGCACGAAAGCGUGGGG
rnacentral:rRNA from 1 species